UACGUAGGGUGCGAGCGUUGUCCGGAAUUACUGGGCGUAAAGAGCUCGUAGGUGGUUUGUCGCGUUGUCCGUGAAAACUCACAACUCAAUUGUGGGCGUGCGGGCGAUACGGGCAGACUGGAGUACUGCAGGGGAGACUGGAAUUCCUGGUGUAGCGGUGGAAUGCGCAGAUAUCAGGAGGAACACCAAUGGCGAAGGCAGGUCUCUGGGCCGAAACUGACGCUGAGGAGCGAAAGCGUGGGGAGCGAACAGG
rnacentral:rRNA from 1 species